rnacentral:rRNA from 1 species
AGUGAACGCUGGCGGUAGGCCUAACACAUGCAAGUCGAACGGCAGCACAGUAAGAGCUUGCUCUUACGGGUGGCGAGUGGCGGACGGGUGAGGAAUACAUCGGAAUCUACUUUUUCGUGGGGGAUAACGUAGGGAAACUUACGCUAAUACCGCAUACGACCUACGGGUGAAAGCAGGGGAUCUUCGGACCUUGCGCGAUUGAAUGAGCCGAUGUCGGAUUAGCUAGUUGGCGGGGUAAAGGCCCACCAAGGCGACGAUCCGUAGCUGGUCUGAGAGGAUGAUUCGGCCAAACUGGACCGGAGAAACGUCCCAGACCCCAACGGAGGGCAGCAGUGGGAAUAUUGGAACAAGGGGGGCAAGCCGAACCCAGCCUACCGGGGGGGGGGAAAAGGGCCUUGGGUUGGUAAAGCCCUUUUGUGGGGAAAGAAAAGCGGCAGGUAAAUACCCGGUGGUUCGAACGGUACCAAAGAAAAAGGAACCGGUAAACUUGUG